AGAUCUCCGUCGCGCACCCCUGCUGCCCCCACCGAUCCCUCCUCCUCCUUUCACUGCGUGUUUGGGCACCCGUGGGAGGCAGGAAAUGGAGACCAGAGGUGAACCUGCAUGUUUUGGAAUGCAUUCCAUUCUAACUUAACCCCCAAGGAGCAGAAACCCAAGCUGGGAAGGAGGAGCCCCAGAAAGAGGGAGAAGGAGACUGCACUCUCUUCUCCUGCCAGAGGCCUCAAGCAGUUCUGAGCUGAAGGAAUAGAGCAGCUUCCUCGUGAGCAUUCCCCUAAUACGUCACCUGCACCUGAAUGCAGGGCUCGGAUUCGGCUUCUGGUGGACCUGGCUGAAUCAGUCAAUAUCAGCUGGAUGAAUGAAGAACUUUUACUGAGAGGCUUUCUGGGACUCUGGAAUGCAUGGCCCAAGGAAACACUGGGCCACGUGGAAGAAAGUCCUUCUAGGGUUAGAUUAGAUGUCCUCUUUCAGGUGAUGUACAGGCUGAGGACUUUAGGAAUUGUGGGCUAUUGCUCCUACUUGUCGUGUACUUGGAGGGCUAGGAGGAUGGAAGGGUAAGUUUUAUCAUUGUUCACCUCAUUGGCUCAUCCGGGCUGGCCUAGAUGUGCUUAUCAUGAACAGGAAGCCUGUGAAGGGAAGUGUGUGUGUGUGUGUGUGUGUGUGUGUGUGUGUGUCUCACGUACCUGGUUCGGGAGUCCAGGAAGGCCUUGUUGACUUGGACCUUGGCCUGACUCACGGUAUCGGAGAUGGCAGAGGUUCUGGUAGUCUGCGCUUGGGGUUGGAGUGGGGAGCAGGAAGUAGGGUGUCAGACACCACUCCUUUGCGAUGUCUUCUGCUUUUGUCUCCCUCUUUCUCAGCCAUUACCCCCACCCCUCAAAUCUGGGUAGGCAGGAGAUCAAGAUUAGGAAAGUUUCAUAAGAGUCCUUAAGGGGAAAAAGCACAGAAUGGGAAGAAUACUCUUGGAUCUUCAACAAGAUGUCAAAAUUGCUCUUUGAGAUCUCACUAGAAUGCCCAGAGAUGGGAUGAAGAGGGAGUGUGGCCACUCACGGUGGCUUGGGCUACUGGACUGUGGGGAUUUCUCUGGUUCCUGGUGAGAUGGUCUUGUGGACUAUCUCAAGUUCAUCAAAGAGGACCCACUGAUCACCAGGACCCUGACGUACAGAAGGGGAUGGCAUGAGAGUAGUGGUGGGAUUCCCUGUUCCCUCUUGUAUUGGGGUCUGGAGCAUGGAGGACAGGAUCUGUUCUCUCAACAAGGAGAGUGUAGUGGGUUAAAUAAUGGCCCUCCCAAAAUUCACAUCUGCAUGGAACCUCAGAAUGUGACCUUAUUUGGAAGUAGGGUCUUUGUAGAUGUUAUGAAUUAAAAUGAGGUCAUACUGCCUUAGCAUCGGCCCUAAAUCCAAUAAAUGGUGGUUUUAUGAGAAGAGGAGAGGACACACAAAGAAAAAGGCCAUGCAAAGACUGAGGCAGAGAUUGGAGUGUUGCAACUACAAGCCAGGGAACACCAAGGAUACCAGGGCCACCAGAAGCUGGAAGAAGAAAGGAAGCAUUCUUCCCUAGAGCCUUCAGAGGGAGCACAGCCCUGCCAACACCUUGAUUUUGGACUUCUAUCCUCCCGUACUGUGAGAGAAUACAUUUCUGUUGUCUUAGGCCAUCCAGUUGGUGUGCUUUGUGACAGCAGCCCCAGAAAACCCAUAAAGGGAGACACUCACCUCUUGUGGUAGAUGCUGCAGCCUGAAGCAAGAUGAGGGAAGCCAGGAGGGCUGGGAGAUGGAGAAGGACCCUCAUCACUGAAACGAGAUGCAGGAUCACACUGUGAGCCUCUCUAGAGACCAAGUGGGAGGGUUUGAACCACAGAAAGCAGAGAAAGCCAAAGGAGCGCCAGACACCCUAACAUUAGAACAGGAAAGGAGAAACCACAUUAACGAAUGAAGCAUCUACCAUACACACAGGCCUGUGCUAGGUACUGGGAGAGAUGGAAAGAGGAGAAGACAUGGCGGAAGGGAAAGAACUCAGGCUUCAGGAUCUAAGGCCCUGAGUUAUCAUUCUGCAUUUGCUCCAAUAGCUCUGUGACCUUGGGCAGGUUACUUAACAUCUCUGGGGUCCUGGCUUGCUAUGGGAGGAGGUGGGACCAAGUGAUCCAGAAUGUUCAAUUCUGCCCUAACAGCCUGUGGUCCGGAGAUGCUGCACCUGUCUUGUCACAGGUGUGAGAAAUGCUGUUACCAAGGCUGGAGCCUGCCUUUGAGUUCCCCUCCCUCCUUCCCUGCAGGAUGCAUUGCUCCCUGCAAGCCAGUUUCCUCUGGCCCAGCCCCAGGAGAGAAUGCCUGAGGGGCAGACACUCAGCGCCUCCCUUCGGAAACCUGGCAGGGGCUUCCCCUUCCCUCAAAGUGCCAACUUGAUGGCAAUACUGAAAGAAAGUUACGACAAAGCUCAGAGCUCCCCUGAGCCCACAGCUGUGCCCCAGUCUGCCUGGAAAGAUUCCAGCUCAUGGAUUAACCCCUUUGCCAUGAGCUUUAACUCUGAAUGCAAAUCUUUAGACUGAAAUUUGUGAAGCUUUGUUUUCUGAUGAGGGUCUUCAUUGGGCUUAGUGGAGCAGACCCCAUACAUCUUCUGAGGAGAUUCUGGCUCCAGCCCGGGGAGGCAGCCACAGCGUGCAGAUGGAAUGAUUGUGUGUUUAGACCAUGGUCCUGAGAGGCUCCUCAGCUUUCACAAGGGCGCCUGGGCCCUCCCUGCAGCACAGCGUUCACUGGUGGAAUCCAGAAGCACACUAGGGAGAGCAGCCUCAGGUUGCCCCCCAGCCAUGUCUCCCCAGGGCUCAGCUCCCAGAGAGAAAUCGUAGUUCUGGAGCUUUGCCUGACAGACUUCCCCGUUUGUCUUGCAGACCCUCUCCAAAUCACCUCCCUUUGGAAUAGGCCAGACCAGGAGACCUCUGUAUCUGGAUCAGGUCAUUUCAGCCUCUUUCACCCCUGCCUGCCUCCAAUUUUUCCCUCUGCCCUUUCGUGGUCCCCCUAAUAAUUUGUAUCUUGUUGUACUUUUUGCCAGCUAACUCUAGAGAAAGGACAAGGCAUGAAUAAAUACCUCUCUGGCCAAGAUUCUCUCUGUUACUUCCCCCCACCCCAAGAUGAGUUCUCAAACAGCUUGACCUCUCAGUGGGCUCUUGUCCUUAUAGUUGUAUGGCCCCAAGGAGGAAGAGAUUCUGUGACCUCCUAUCCCUCUGUCACCAUAUUUUGCAACUUCAGGGGACCCAUUGCAGGGUUCAUUGAGUUAGCAGAAAUCUGCCCUUCAGACAAACAGAGAUGAUGGUUUUGGAGGAAAAGGUAUCAUUGACUUUAAAAAAUAAACUAUGGUAAAAAAACAUGGCCAGGUGUGGUGGCUCAUGCCUGUAAUCCCAGAAGUUUGGGAGGCCGAGACAGGCGGAUCACUUGAGGUCAGGGGUUGGAGACCAGCCUGGUCAACGUGGUAAAACCCUGUCUCUACUAGAAAUACAAGAAUUAGCCAGGCGUGGUGGCAGACACUGGCAAUUCCAGCUACUCGGGAGACUGAGGCAGGAGAAUCGCUUGAACCUGGGAGGUGGAGGUUGCAGUGAGCCAAGAUUGCACCACUGCACUCCAGCCUGGGCUCAAAAAAAAAAAGAAAAGAAAAGAACAACAACAACAAAAAUCCACAUGGCAUAAAAUUUAGCAUCCUAGUCAUUUAAACUAUACAGUGCUGUAAUGUUAGGUAUAUUCACAUGUUGCACAAUGGAUCUCUAGAACAUUUUCAUCCUGUAAAAACUGAAACCCUAUACCCAUUGAACACCAACUCCCUAUUUCCCCUUCCCCCUAGCUCCUGGCAACCACCAUAUCACUGAUUUUUUUAAAGAGGGCUGUGGGCACAAACAUUCAUUAUAUUGUUCUUUGAAUGACUAAUGCAUUUCCUAAUAAAUGACAA